GAUGAACGCUGGCGGCGUGCUUAACACAUGCAAGUCGAACGAUGAAGCCCAGCUUGCUGGGUGGAUUAGUGGCGAACGGGUGAGUAACACGUGAGUAACCUGCCCUUAACUCUGGGAUAAGCCUGGGAAACUGGGUCUAAUACCGGAUAGGAGCGUCCACCGCAUGGUGGGUGUUGGAAAGAUUUAUCGGUUUUGGAUGGACUCGCGGCCUAUCAGCUUGUUGGUGAGGUAAUGUCUCACCAAGGCGACGACGGGUAGCCGGCCUGAGAGGGUGACCGGCCACACUGGGACUGAGACACGGCCCAGACUCCUACGGGAGGCAGCAGUGGGGAAUAUUGCACAAUGGGCGCAAGCCUGAUGCAGCGACGCCGCGUGAGGGAUGACGGCCUUCGGGUUGUAAACCUCUUUCAGUAGGGAAGAAGCGAAAGUGACGGUACCUGCAGAAGAAGCACCGGCUAACUACGUG
rnacentral:rRNA from 1 species